UGGGGAAUAUUGGACAAUGGGCGAAAGCCUGAUCCAGCAAUGCCGCGUGAGUGAUGAAGGCCUUAGGGUUGUAAAGCUCUUUUACCCGGGAUGAUAAUGACAGUACCGGGAGAAUAAGCUCCGGCUAACUCCGUGCCAGCAGCCGCGGUAAUACGGAGGGAGCUAGCGUUGUUCGGAAUUACUGGGCGUAAAGCGCACGUAGGCGGCUUUGUAAGUCAGAGGUGAAAGCCUGGAGCUCAACUCCAGAACUGCCUUUGAGACUGCAUCGCUUGAAUCCAGGAGAGGUGAGUGGAAUUCCGAGUG
rnacentral:rRNA from 1 species